AAAGAAAAGCCGCUAUAGAUCAUAUCGUACCCGUACCGUAAACCGACACAGGUAGAUGAGGAGAGAAUCCUAAGGCCGACGGGAGCAGCAUUGUUAAGGAACUCGGCAAAAUGACCCCGUAACUUCGGGAGAAGGGGUGCCCACGCGAGUGGGCCGCAGAGAAUAGGCUCAAGCAACUGUUUAGCAAAAACAGGUCUAUGCGAAACCGAAAGGUGAGGUAUAUGGGCUGACGCCUGCCCGGUGCUGGAAGGUUAAGAGGAGGAGUUAGGCAACGAAGCUCCGAAUUUAAGCCCCAGUAAACGGCGGCCGUAACGAUAACGGUCCUAAGGUAGCGAAAUUCCUUGUCGGGUAAGUUCCGACCCGCACGAAAGGCGUAAUGAUUUGAGCACUGUCUCGACAAUGCACCCGGUGAAAUUGAAGUACCAGUGAAGAUGCUGGUUACCUGCGCCAGGACGGAAAGACCCCAUGGAGCUUUACUCCAGUUUGAUACUGGGAUUCGAUACUGAAUGUACAGGAUAGGUGGGAGGCUGAGAAGCGUGGACGCCAGUCUGCGGUGAGCCGCUGUUGGGAUACCACCCUUUGAGUAUUGGAUUUCUAGCCUGCGCCCGUGACCCGGGCGGGGGACAAUGUCUGACGGGGAGUUUGACUGGGGCGGUCGCCUCCGAAAGGGUAUCGGAGGCGCUCAAAGGUUCCCUCAGAAUGGUUGGAAACCAUUCGCAGAGUGCAAAGGCAGAAGGGAGCUUGACUGUGACACCGACGGGUGGAGCAGGUACGAAAGUAGGACUUAGUGAUCCGGUGGUAUGAAAGUGGGAUUGCCAUCGCUCAACGGAUAAAAGCUACCCUGGGAUAACAUGCUUAUCACUCCCAAGAGUUCACAUCGACGGAGUGGUUUGGCACCUCGAUGUCGGCUCAUCGCAUCCUGGGGCUGUAGCAGGUCCCAAGGGUUGGGCUGUUCGCCCAUUAAAGCGGUACGCGAGCUGGGUUCAGAACGUCGUGAGACAGUUCGGUCCCUAUCCGGCGCAGGCGUAGGAUAUUUGAGAGGAGCUGUCCUUAGUACGAGAGGACCGGGAUGGACAGACCGCUGGUGUAUCUGUUGGUGACCAACACCAUGGCAGAGUAGCCAAGUCUGGCAGGGAUAAACGCUGAAGGCAUCUAAGCGUGAAGCCCCCCUCAAGAUGAGAUAUCCCAAUAAGUAAGACCCCUUAGAGAGUAUGAGGUAGAUAGGCUUAAGGUGUAAGCAUAGUAAUAUGUUCAGCUGAUAAGUACUAAUAGGUCGAGGGCUUAUGAA
rnacentral:rRNA from 1 species